rfam:Oryza sativa Japonica Group DNA, chromosome 5, cultivar: Nipponbare, complete sequence.
UUUAGAUGCAGUUAUGGUUUUAAUGUCUAAUGUUUAACCGUCCGUUUUAAUUUUAAAAAAUAUGACUCAUAUUUUUAUUGUUAUUAGAUGAUAAAACAUAAAUAGUACUUUAUGUGUGACUUAUUUUUAAUUUUAUAAGUUUUUCAAAUAAGAUGAAUGGUCAAACGUUAGGCACGAAAAUCCAUGACUGCACUUAAA